UCAAUUAUUUAAUCAUUCAAUUGGAUCCAAUGAUCAUCCAACAAAAAAUUAAAACAAUAAGUUGGAUCUUCAAAGCUGAACACAAUUAUUCAUCAUCAUUUCUAGAAAACUCCUCAAAGAAAAAGUUUGCACAACUUUCUCCAAACUCCCUUUCAUUGCUCCACCAUCUUCAACUUUUUUGCAGUCAUUGAUCAACUAAAAAAAUAAUAAGUAUUGUAAUCAAUAUAAUAUAAUCAAGUAACUUGAAUCCAUGAGUAUCAAUGAUAUAUUAAUAAAGGCGUAAGACCUUAACACACAGUAAACAACUCCAAAACAAAAAUCAAUUUCUCCUAAUCACAUAAGGCAAUUCCCCCUCCUUCCCUGCUAUCUAACACAUGAUUACAAACAUAACAGNNNNNNNNNNNNNNNNNNNNNNNNNNNNNNNNNNNNNNNACAAAACACCUUAAUUACUAUAGCACCAAAACAUGUGUACUACUAACACAGAUCAGAAAAAUAUUCCUAUAGAUCUCCAUGAAUCACAAAGCAUCACAGCUAACAACUCGGAAUCUCAGCCCGUGACACAAAAUCAUUCCAUUAGAGAUCUAACAACAUAAUAACAAGUAGAAAAACUGAGGUGAUAGAUGCCAAAAUAUGCAAGUCUACAAUACUUGAUGCUAUAAAACUCAAAAUUGUGAAAUUGUAGUUAGUUAACCUUCAUCGAAAGCUGAGAAUACCCGAUUUAUUCGCCAUCUUGAUGCUCUACUAAUCCAAGCAUGUCCCUAUAAAUAAAGUUCGUAACACAGUAUGGUUAGAAUACAUGAACCAAUAAAUCCAUACAUCAUACUAGUUGGACUCAAAAAGUCAUGCCCAAGCUUUUAAUUUUAUUUUUUUAUAAUUAUAAAAAUUCUUUCAUAGAACUAUUUACAUAAAACACAUUUUGAAGGUUUAACUCAUUCAAUUUUAAAAAUCUAUUAAUAGUAUUUUCUCAUGCAAGCCUAUAUCUACUUGGUGAAUAACAUGAAAACACAACUACUCAAUGUAUUGAACAUACUUAAUUAAGCUAACUUUAUGUCCUGCUACAUAAAUCUGUAGAACAAAAGGCAGUACUCAAUUAGUUGUGCAUAUAUAAAUAUGCAGAACAGACGGUACAUUAAAAUAGUCCACAACACACAUGUAAAUUUUACGAAGUUUUCAGCUAUAUAUGGAAGUCGCAAUUCAAGCAGAGCUAGUGUUCAGGGAACUAAUCAUAUAUUUAUCACGCUUCUAUUAACUCCACGUCCAAUGGCCAAUACUAAGAGGAUAUUAUACUAACUAAGUUGUAUUUUUGGAUGAGGAAGGAUGCACUAACAUAAGGGUAAACAAAAAGUGGAUGAGUUGGAGGCAAUACAUCAUUUGCAAUGUCCUGCAAAACAAAUCAACACAUUCAUCCGUCAGAACAAUACCGAGAAACACCCCAACAACAGACCACUGCAAAAAUAUUUCAAUUACAAAUUCACAUAUAGACUUCAUAUCAUAUAUUUCAAUUCAAUAUCUAUUUUCUAAUACAAAAGUAUCAUAUAAAAGUAUGAUUGGUUUCACUAUCUAAAUAUUGGAUCGGGAUGAAAACCUUUAUAUCUUCUAUCAUGCCCUCAAAAUCCAACCCAAUUGUUUUGGGGUCAUAGUAUCGGUCUCGGACCAGUUACUGAAAGACCUUGGACAGUGGCAACCUGGGUGAAAAAUAAAAAAGAAAAAUAUUGAUUUCUUUCUUGUUUGUUUCUAUGAUCUAACAGCAAAUAAAAGUCACAUCCUUCAAAGCAAUUAUAUCUGCUAAAUCCACUACAUACUCUGCUGUUUGAUUGCUAUGGUGGAUUGUCUGCUCGUGUAACAACUCUGCAGUUGCCUUAUUAAAUGCAGCCAAACCUUCAUUUGGGAGAUACUGCAUUUCCAAGUUAAAACCAUAGUUAGUAAUCUAAAGCCAACAGUUUAAUGAUACAAAUAAUCGCAUAUGACCUAAAGAAAUUUACCUCUUUGUUUUCGCCUCUCUUCAGCAUAAGAUUCUCUGCCUAAAAACAAGAACUUCAUCAAAAUCAAUAUUGGCUCAACUGAAAAAAUACUCUCAUGUUUCUGAACAAGUAAAAUAAGAAAUCAAUACAUGACGUAUGAAAUGUGCAAAUUGUAAAAAACCAUAGCAUCAAAUCCAACUUCAUGACAAUAAACCCAACCACGUAAAUUGAAAUACAUUAUAAGAGAAAAGGUACAUAAGUAACUCAGAUAAUCAGAUAUAUAAACUCUCAGUCAUUUAUUCACGACAAAAUUCAAAUUCAACAUGGGAGAGAUUGUCCACAUUUAAGUAUCUUCAUAGAAUCAAGGUCAAUACCCUAACACAGUAUCCUCAACAAACUCGUUACCUUCACUGCAACGGCAUCAAAACCGUUGUGCACAGCAUCCUGAGCAAACUUUAACCAUUCUACCAGUGAAACUUGGCAAUUGAAAACUAGCAGAUUUGAUUUCUCGCAUAACUAAAGCCUCAUCUUCUCAAAUCCAAACAACUCUUCAAAAUUUAAAUUCGAAAACACAAAAGAAAAAUACAAAUUAGCAUAUUGUUAUACAAACAAUUGAUAUAUAAAUUAUAUAUAGAAAUUGAAACAUUACAAAUGUAAGCAUCUAUAGAAAGUAUAUACUACUCAGCAUGGACAAAAUCAACAAAAACUAUGAAAACAAGNNNNNNNNNNNNNNNNNNNNNNNNNNNNNNNNNNNNNNNNNNAUGAACUUAGUCUUUAAAAGAAAAACUUAGUAAAUGACACAAAUAAGACGAACGCAUAACUCGUUACCAAAUACAACACCAUAAUAAACAACUCAUAAAUGACACAUUUCCACAGAAUUUGGGCACCUUUUGCAACCAAAUCUUUAGAUCAAAUCAUGAAUGAGAAAUUGUCACAAAUAAGACGAACGCAUAAGUUACCUUGCUGAAAAACAGAAUAUGUGUCAACAUAUAAGUUUUUUCUUAAAUAAAUGACUAUAUGCAAAGAUGAUUCAUAAAUGUAUAUACACAUUAAUGAGAAGAUUUAGUAAUUAAAAAGUAGGAAACCAAAGUAAGCAAACACUAAAUGCCUGGAUAAAUGACAUAAACAAAUUAAGCAACCUACCCUGUUCAAGAAACAAUUAAAGCAUCAUGCUUUCAGAAAACAUCUAAUUCAUAGUUAAAGUAAAUAAAAAAAUAACCAAAAGCUCAUAAUUCAAGUAAAUUAACAUAUAAGCAUCAUGCAGGAAAGUAAGUUACAUAGUUAAAGUAAUUAAAAAGUAGGAAACCAAAGUAAGCAAACACUAAAUGCCUGGAUAAAUGACAUAAACAAAUUAAGCAACCUACCCUGUUCAAGAAACAAUUAAAGCAUCAUGCUUUCAGAAAACAUCUAAUUCAUAGUUAAAGUAAAUAAAAAAAUAACCAAAAGCUCAUAAUUCAAGUAAAUUAACAUAUAAGCAUCAUGCAGGAAAGUAAGUUACAUAGUUAUGGGACUAUAGCACACGAGAUUUUGUCCUUUUAAAAGCGCGCGCGCGUGCACACACACAUAUAAUAAUUCAACCAGUUAACAACAUAGGAACAACCAUAUCUACAACAACUUGUUACAAUAGUGUGGAAGAGUUACAAUUCAAAAAUACAUAAACAACUCUACCUUGUGAGGAACACUGGUAGGCAUCUACAAGAACUUUUCCACAAAAACCAUGUGCCCAAUGUGCAAUAUUCNNN
rnacentral:lncRNA from 1 species